rnacentral:rRNA from 1 species
UGCUGCGGUUAAAAAGCUCGUAGUUGGAUUUCCCUUUCGGACCGGCAACCCAUCCAAGGCGCGCCCUCGUCAUACGUGUUCGAGUCCCUUCGCCCUUCUCGUCUCGUUUGCCUUUGCACUUUUUCCCCUUCCUAUCUCACUCUCGCUGAAGAAUGUUGCUCUUCGCCGGCCUGGUAGCGUGGUAACGGUAGCGACGCGUGCAUAUACGCAUUUUUGGGCUCGUUAGGGCGAGUUAGGUGUGCGCGGCUGGUCGGUUUAAAAGCGGCAGAACGUCCUCGUUAAUGGCAUCACGCCUUAUCGUAGCGUCGUCUCUCCGUUCCGUCCUGUUCGCCCUCCUCUACUCGUCUCCCAUUUAUGUUUGCUCGUUGUUCCGCCGUUUACUUUAGCUUCUUGCGUCGCGGCGAGACAACGCUGAAAGAGUUUGAGAGAAAGCUGGGGUUGGUGUCGAGGCGCGGGGAUUAAAAGCGAGUUGAAGCGUUUUAGGGGCUCGUUCCGGGCGAGAAAGCGCGCCCGGUGGUUCACUGAUCGGCUCCGAAUUGAAAAAGCCGUCGGCUUUCACGGGGUGCUCUUCACCGAGUGUCCCGCGUGGCCGACACGUUCACUUUGAAAAAAUUAGAGUGCUUAGAGCAGGCAAUAACUAAUGCCUGAAUGGUGGUGCAUGGAAUGAUGAAACAGGACCUCGGUUCUGUCCUUUUGUUCGG